rnacentral:misc_RNA from 1 species
AAAAACAUUUAAUGAAAUGUCGGGGCGUGCUUUUCGCGCGCCCCGAGUAUUCAACCAACCCGCUCGUGUAUUUGAAUCAAACAAAAUUAAACAAAUAAACUGAUAACAGUAAUUAAGAAA